UACGUAGGGUGCAAGCGUUGUCCGGAAUUAUUGGGCGUAAAGAGCUCGUAGGCGGUCUGUUGCGUCGGCUGUGAAAACCCGGGGCUCAACUCCGGGCCUGCAGCCGAUACGGGCAGACUAGAGUUCGGCAGGGGAGACUGGAAUUCCUGGUGUAGCGGUGAAAUGCGCAGAUAUCAGGAGGAACACCGGUGGCGAAGGCGGGUCUCUGGACCUGUCCUGACGCUCAGGCGCGAAAGCUAGGGGAGCGAACAGG
rnacentral:rRNA from 1 species